UGGGAAGUAUAACCCUAGCCCACAUCUGAUCGAUCCAACGUCAACCCUUGAUUGCGUUCGCGACUUUGCGAUUUAUUCUUGCCAGCGCCGCUCCCCUUCCCUUCCUCUCUCUUCCCACAGCCGGAGGUGCUGCGCCUCUGCUCCCCCCAUCUUCUGCACCGCCGGCCUUUGAAGUUUAUCAUCCUUUUUCACGGGUGAGAAGGCGAUGGAUUCGGACGAGGGGAAGGUCUUUAUCGGAGGCAUCUCGUGGGAUACCUCGGAGGAAAAACUCAAGGAGCACUUCGGAGACUACGGGGAGGUCCUUGACGCCGUCAUCAUGAGGGACAAGAUCACUGGCCGGCCCAGGGGUUUUGGGUUCGUCGUAUUUGCAGAUCCCUCUAUCCUCGAUCGCGUACUUCAGGACAAGCACACCAUUGAUGGUCGCACCGUGGAAGCCAAAAGAGCUCUUUCAAGGGAAGAACAGCAAAUAUCUGGAAGAUCUGGAAAUCAAACUUCUGGAAGUGCCUUUGCUGGUAGGUCAACUGGAGCAAGUUCUGGUGCAAACAUAAGGACCAAGAAGAUAUUUGUUGGAGGUUUGCCUCCCAAUUUAACAGAGGAUGGGUUUCGUCAAUACUUUGAAUCAUAUGGUGCUGUGACUGAUGCAGUUGUGAUGUACGACCAAAACACUCAUCGCCCUCGAGGAUUUGGCUUCAUCUCUUUCGAAUCAGAGGAUACUGUUGAUAUAAUUCUUCAGAAAACUUUUCAUGAUCUGAAUGGAAAGGCUGUGGAAGUCAAGCGUGCCCUUCCAAAAGAUGCAAAUACGAAUAUUGGCAGUGGCCGAUCAUUGGGAAGUGGAUCUCAUCAAUCUUAUGGUGGUUCAACUGGUAAUGGUAGCUCUUAUGACAGUGGGGCAGAGGCUAAUAGAUACAUGCAACCUCAAGGAGCAGGCAACAGCCUUUCAGCAUAUGGUUCUACUGGAUAUGGCACACCUGGUUAUGGGUAUGGAGCUGCAAACAGUGGCAUUAGUUAUGCAGGGUAUGCAGUUGGCGGUUAUGGUGGUGGCGGUGCUGGGUACAGUGGACCUUCUGGUCCUUAUGGAAAUCCAACUGCUCCUAUGUCUGGUUAUAUAGGUGGUCCUCCAGGUACUCAAAGGAACCUAUGGAAUAAUCAGGCUUCUGCAGGUUAUGGUGGAGCUGCAACUUAUGGAUCCUCAUGGAAUGCCUCAGCAUCUAGCGGAGGAUCUAGUGCACCACCAUCAGGUCAAAGUGGAACUUCUGGAUAUAUGGGGCAGGGUUAUGGAUAUGGGGGCUAUGGAGGGUCAGAAGUCCCUUAUGGUAAUCAAGGUGGUGGUUAUGGGUCCUUUGGUGGCCGUGGUAGUGGUGGUCCUGUUAAUACUUCUGCAGGCAAUUCAGGGGAACAAGGAGCAGGUUCUGCUUACACAGGUGGAGGUUAUUCUAGUGCAAGCUCUGAUUAUACCAAUUCUUGGAGGCCAGACCCUGCACAAGCAGGGUUGUACGGAUCUUCUCAGGUGAAUGGACCUUCUGGUGGUCCAGCCAAUUAUGGAGCUAAUUAUGGCGGUGGUCAGGGUAGGCAAGCCCAGCAGCAGUAAAUGCAGGAGUUAUAUUUGGAAGGUCAUUUUUGGGCGCUUCUUGAGCUGUUGUGUUUGGCGUUUGGCGAAGAUAUAAAUUUAUCUUGGGCAUCGCAGCUCAUUCGCUUGUGAGCAACUGCACAGAAGCCUUUUACAGGGUGCAGGAGAUUUUACAGGAUGCAGGAGAAAAGCUUUGUUGUUUGAAGCCAGAACAUUUGUCGCUGAUGCGUUGGGCUUUCACCUUCUCAAAGACCUUGUGUGUGUUUGCAUUACUUGGUUAUAUCGACGCCAUUGUGCUUGCUGUGAUUGCUGAGAAUUAAUAGUGGUGGUAAGGUCCUGGACGAUAGAGGUCAAACUACCACUUGUGCAUUUUUCUGCAAUCUGCACACGGUGAAAUACUGCUUUAGAUGCUCACCAGGUUUAACAUAAUUGUUUUUUUUCGAAGCAAAUAAAUACAGAAAAUACUGAUUGCUGUACUCUUCUGAGUGUAUUAAGAAGACAUGGCUUCGUUCAUUUUUUCUGCAAAUAAACAAAUAUUUGUUUCUAUAA